rnacentral:rRNA from 1 species
AUUGAACGCUGGCGGCAGGCCUAACACAUGCAAGUCGAGCGGAUGAAGGGAGCUUGCUCCUGGAUUCAGCGGCGGACGGGUGAGUAAUGCCUAGGAAUCUGCCUGGUAGUGGGGGAUAACGUCCGGAAACGGGCGCUAAUACCGCAUACGUCCUGAGGGAGAAAGUGGGGGAUCUUCGGACCUCACGCUAUCAGAUGAGCCUAGGUCGGAUUAGCUAGUUGGUGGGGUAAAGGCCUACCAAGGCGACGAUCCGUAACUGGUCUGAGAGGAUGAUCAGUCACACGGGAACUGAGACACGGUCCAGACUCCUACGGGAGGCAGCAGUGGGGAAUAUUGGGCAAUGGGCGAAAGCCUGAUCCAGCCAUGCCGCGUGUGUGAAGAAGGUCUUCGGAUUGUAAAGCACUUUAAGUUGGGGGGAAGGGCAGUAAGUUAAUACCUUGCGGUUUUGACGGUACCAACAGAAGAAGCACCGGCUAACUUCGUG